GUGCCUAAUACAUGCAAGUCGAGCGAACGGACAGGAGUGCUUGCACUCCUUGAAGUUAGCGGCGGACGGGUGAGUAACACGUGGGUAACCUACCUAUAAGACUGGGAUAACUUCGGGAAACCGGAGCUAAUACCGGAUAAUAUAUACCUCCGCAUGGAGGAAUAGUCAAAGACGGUUCUGCUGUCACUUAUAGAUGGACCCGCGGUGUAUUAGCUAGUUGGUGAGGUAACGGCUCACCAAGGCAACGAUACAUAGCCGACCUGAGAGGGUGAUCGGCCACACUGGGACUGAGACACGGCCCAGACUCCUACGGGAGGCAGCAGUAGGGAAUCUUCCGCAAUGGACGAAAGUCUGACGGAGCAACGCCGCGUGAGUGAAGAAGGUUUUCGGAUCGUAAAACUCUGUUGUAAGGGAAGA
rnacentral:rRNA from 1 species